UGGUGGUAGUAGCAAAUA
rnacentral:ncRNA from 2 species